GAAACAGUAGAAAAACUUAACAGCACCGGGCCAAGAGAAAGAAGUGCCCAGCGUGCUUCGGGGAGGUUUAGGAGGCAGUGUAGAAGUCCUUUUAGAAGGCUUGGAGUCUGAAUUCAAGUUGUUGGUCAGGCCAUGCUUGCUCUGAAGGCCUCAGGGGAGGAUCCUUCCUCACCUCUUCUCAAAAGGUGGCUCCGGGUGUUCCUUGGCAUUCCUUGAUCUGCAGCUGUAUCACUCCAAGGCCAAGGCACUUGGCCCCUUAAAGCCUUACAUGAGAGCUUUCAAAAUUAAGAUCUGACAUCCUACUGAAGUAAAAAGGCUUCUAUUUCAUCUUGAGGUUACAGAGAGAACGGGAGCUUGGAUCCUGGUAAAACAGAUGACACUGGUUUCGGUAUGAAGAAUGGAACAGAGAAGAGUGGGAUUGGACGGGUUUCCUGAUGCUAUCCGCACAGAAGACUGAUUUCUUCCCACUUCCGCUCAUCACAUUGGCUGAACCCAGCAGAUCCCUGCCCGGUUAUCCGUCCUACAGAGGGAAACGAUCGUCAUAGCAACAAAGAAAACACAGCCCAUUAUCUUACCUGUGUCAAUAGAAAACAAAGACACAGGUCACAUUACACAAUUUUCUGCUCAUGGAGUGUACCUUUUCACAUUGAUUGACCCGGUACAAUGUGGCCAUUUUCCAAAACGUCAAGGGCCAUUGUCUUAGCUGUGCAAGGCCCUGGCAAAGCUUCUUGUUCUUGUGAGCAGUGCGUGAAGCCUCUUUCUAAUUAUAGCCUUUCUGAAUUCCUUGUCCUUUCCUUUAAAUAAAGUGUCUAGCCAUAUGUUCAA